UACGUAGGGUCCGAGCGUUGUCCGGAAUUACUGGGCGUAAAGAGCUCGUAGGUGGUUUGUCGCGUUGUUCGUGAAAACUCACAGCUCAACUGUGGGCGUGCGGGCGAUACGGGCAGACUGGAGUACUGCAGGGGAGACUGGAAUUCCUGGUGUAGCGGUGGAAUGCGCAGAUACCACCCAGAACUCCGAUUGCGAAGGCAGCCUACUGGAGGUUAACCGACGCUCAGGCACGAAAGCGUGGGGAUCAAACAGG
rnacentral:rRNA from 1 species